CGGCCAUCUCGGUGCCGUGUGUUCUGCCCAAACUGCACAAACGAUGAGACCAGGGCAAGGGAGCCCAGGAUGGAUAAUAUUUCCUGGCUUCAUUCUUUCUGGAAAUGACAACAGAGACCACAUUGGGGACGUUGUGAAUGUGAAGAUCAGGCCCAGCAGUCGCUCCAUCAUCAGCAUCCCCCUGCAGACUGCAGUAUCCUGUGCUGUAGGCAGUGACUUCUGCUCUGGACUCUUUUAGAGCACUUUGAUAUCACCCAACUGAGAGCUGACACGUCACUGGAGCUACAACUAACUGGUCACAUGCCCUGAGCUUGAUCGCGGUCUACUCAGAACACAAGGAUUGUGUACCACCAACUACAAAGAUUCACAUCCAGCUCUGCCACUUUCUAUCUGCGUGACCUAAGACAAGUUACUUCAACUCCCAGUACCUCAGUUACUGCAUGUAUAGAAUGGCCAUGAUGAUACCAGUACCCACCUCAUAAGGCUGUUGUGAGGAUUAAAGUGAUAAAAAUAUUGGGCUGAGGACAGAGCUGAGUACAUAUGUGAAUUUGUUAUUAUUAUCUUGAAAACUUUAACUAUAUUUGCACAAUUUUUUCCACUUUGUUUCUUUGCUGUUUGGAAAUUUUCUGGGGAGAAUAUCUUUUAAACGUUUAAUUGGAGGAUCAUUUUUUAUGAUAUUGUGUUGAUUUCUGCCAUAUAAGAAUGAGAAUCAGCUAUAUGUAUACACAUGCCCCUUCCUUCUUUAGCCUCCUUUCCACCUA